GAUCAUGGCUCAGGAUGAACGCUGGCGGCGUGCCUAAUACAUUCAAGUAGAACGCUGAAGGAAGGAGCUUGCUCUUUCCGGAUGAGUUGCGAACGGGUGAGUAACGCGUAGGUAACCUGCCUGGUAGCGGGGGAUAACUAUUGGAAACGAUAGCUAAUACCGCAUAACAGUAGAUAUUGCAUGAUAUUUGCUUGAAAGGGGCAAUUGCUCCACUACCAGAUGGACCUGCGUUG
rnacentral:rRNA from 1 species